rnacentral:rRNA from 1 species
GUGUCAGCAGCCGCGGUAAUACGUAGGCAGCGAGCGUUGUUCGGAGUUACUGGGCGUAAAGGGUGUGUAGGCGGUUCUUUAAGUUUGGUGUGAAAUCUCCCGGCUCAACCGGGAGGGUGCGCCGAAUACUGAGGGACUCGAGUGCGGGAGAGGAAAGUGGAAUUCCUGGUGUAGCGGUGAAAUGCGUAGAUAUCAGGAGGAACACCGGUGGUGUAGACGGCUUUCUGGACCGUAACUGACGCUGAGACACGAAAGCGUGGGUAGCAAACAGGAUUAGAAACCCGGGUAGUCC